rnacentral:lncRNA from 1 species
AACUAUUCAUGGUGAGAACCAUAUAAGUAAUUUAGUCUAUAUUAAUUAGUUUCCACUAGAAACAAGUUGUGGUCAUGGCGUUCUAUCUAUCCCAAGUCCUCUUUCUGGCCACGGUAGCCAAAUCAUAUAAGUUAUUUCUGUAUGAUCUGACCUAAGCACUACUGUUUGCAAGUAACCUUCCAUAUCAAAAUCAACUUCUAUAUGAUCUGACCUGUUGAGCUCAUCACAAAGACCAUAAAAUCGGCUCUAUCCCUGAUGUCCGAUAAAAAAGGGGAACUAUAGCCUCAGAUCGAAAAAGUUUCUUUUCUUUUGUGAUUUUGCAACGGGACUUGUGCAAUUGGUAGAUAGAAUUUGCCUUCCGAAAUUUUUCCUUGAGACCAUGAGAGUCUGAAGAAAAAAUGAUUAAUUAUUAAUGUUGUUAUAUUUAUGCAAGUUGAAUGCUAUUAAAAAUUUCUUAUUUCCCUUAUCGGGAAUGAAUUGUGAUUUAUACUAGCUGUUAGACAAAUAUUGGAACACAGUGUGCAUGAUAGUUCUUUUUAGAAUACGUAAAGAACUUUGUGUCCCGAUGAACUCAUAGAAAAAGAGAUUUGAGAUUAUGUCCAAGCCUAAAGAAGGGCCACGUCUAAAAUAGAACACCACACCCCUUUUUAAAAUUGCUAACGGGUUGAUGUUGUUGCAUGUCGUGGCGGGGACGGCUGUGUAGCAUCCGUAUGCGCACUGCUUGUGCUGGGCGCCGAUCUGGAGGCCCCUGAUUGGAAGGGACGCCACUGGAGUUGCUACGGGAGAUGGUAGCGGUACACCCAGUGGCAAGGCACCAUAUGACAGACAAUUGUGGUCUGCAUUUUUUUAACCAAAAUAUUGAAAAUGUUCUGAUUUUACCAGAAUACUGAUGUGGACAUUCAAGCUGCAAUAGUGGAGCUGGAUGUGCUGCUAUAGAUUGGUCCUUGCAGCUUAUGAAGGCAUCAACUAUUGGCGGCACACAAUUGUGGAGCUUAAGAUUCCCCACCCUUAUUUCUGAAGGAAAGCUAAAGUUCGGGGACCCUAUUCAUACAACACAACCGUUGGAGAUGGAAAAUCCGAGGCACUUAGUGAAAUCAAAAGGUUUUGUGAGAGAAUUCAAAGAAGCACUCAAAAUAAAGCUAUCAGGAUAGCAUUCUGAUAUAACAAAAUGGCAACGUUUAUUUCCUAAUGGUAUUCCAAUGAGCGUAGACGGGUAAUUAAUUCAUAAUAAAACAUUUAUUUUUCUUAUCAUCAUAUUUAAUAUAAUAAUAAUUUUACCAUUUUAUGCUCUUGUGGAAUGGUAAAGACUUGGCGAAGCCGGUUUGCACAUCGAGUAUUUUCUGUUACACAUGUGCUUAGACCUUCCAUGUGAAACAUAUACUUUUGCAGGAUGGGUAUGAGUUGAUGAAGCAACUUUUUAUUAUAUUUUCUCAAACAUCAUGCAAAUGAAGCUAAAGACAACUUUCAUAAUACCGUGCGAGAAUUUCCUAAGCGCAUCAAGUAGAUCUCAAUAGUUUGUAAUAGAUUUUGAGUUGGAUCAUCACUUUAUAUAUAUUCAUUGUUAGUUUGCAUUUUGUUAUCAGUUUAUAUUACAAGUGAAGUGGACUUUAAUUAUUAUGCAAUUGUGACAGUUUUAUAUUAUCCUAGCUGUGAAAUUUAGCAUGCAUUAUCUUUAUAUAACUUCAGCAAAAUAUUUCAGAAGCCCAUGGCAACCAGAUUUUUAUGUCAAUCCACCAUAUUUUCCAGCCAGUUGGGGAACUGAGUGCGGUAGCGGAGCUGUGGGAGUGGUGGACAUGCAAUGAGGGAAGGACAAAGAAUAGAGGAUUAGGAAGGACAGAUGGAGGUGUCGGAUCUGAGAGAAAAGAGGGAAAUAUCGAAGGGAGCUGGCAUGGAAAGAAAGCGAAGUUGUGCCCCAAGGUUAGAGUGUGAUCGUGCUAUAAAUGUUACCUUUUAUCAAUGCCCGUGUUCAUUCUCGAAGGCUCCACACAAUCAUUGUGAAGGAACAUGGCUAACUCAUUGAGGACAACCAUUGUGGUGAUUUCUAAGCUCAAUUUCUGGUGGAGUAGUCUCAUGACAAAUUAAGACGACAACCCACGAGUAACUCAUAAAUUUAUAAAAUCACCUUGUUUUUUCAUGCAUAUUCAUGUUACCUACAAACGUUAGAUGUGAUUGAUUUAGGGAAGAAACAAUGGAAGAAAUGGUGGUUUUGCAAUGUAAAAUAUAUGUCUGAAUCAAGUAUUGUUUAUUUAAUCAUCUAUUUCAUUUUUU